rnacentral:tRNA from 1 species
GGAGGGGUGCCAGAGCGGCCGAAUGGGCCGGUUUCGAAAACCGGUGUGGUCGCAAGAUCACCCAGGGUUCAAAUCCCUGCCCCUCCGCCA